rnacentral:miRNA from 14 species
AUGCGUGUGUGUGUGUGCACACAUGUACAUGCAUGCGUAUAUGUAUAUAUUGAUACAAA